rnacentral:rRNA from 1 species
AUUGAACGCUGGCGGCAGGCUUAACACAUGCAAGUCGAACGAGUGGCGGACGGGUGAGUAAUGCUUGGGAAUCUAGCUUAUGGAGGGGGAUAACACUUGGAAACAGGUGCUAAUACCGCAUACUGAUGGAUGGACCCGCGGUGCAUUAGCUAGUUGGUGAGGUAACGGCUCACCAAGGCCACGAUGCAUAGCCGACCUGAGAGGAUGACCAGCCACACUGGGACUGAGACACGGCCCAGACUCCUACGGGAGGCAGCAGUGGGGAAUAUUGCGCAAUGGGGGCAACCCUGACGCAGCCAUGCCGCGUGAAUGAAGAAGGCCUUCGGGUUGUAAAGUUCUUUCGGUAGCGAGGCGUUAACUACAGAAGAAGCACCGGCUAACUCCGUGCCAGCAGCCGCGGUAAUAC